ACAACAGACAACCGAGGUAACGUCCACUCUUCGAAGAUGUGUCCUCCACUACGUCAGGACCAAAGUCCAAGCUCUCCCCGUACCCUAAGGAGGCCAGAACUCGCCCCCAUGCCGGGCACAGAUCCCCCAGCCCGGAGCUGGCAGUGCAGCUCAGAGCCCUUCCGGUUUACAGCCGCGGAAAAACAACUCCGACUAGGUCGGGGCGGGGAAUGGGGGCUGGGCGGCCAAAAUUCAGUCCCGAGGAUCGAAGCGGCUGCUUUAACAGAGGUUGGGGCUGCGUAACAACAGCUCCAGGCAAAGCUUCGGGCUGAUCUGAAGGAUGAGGAAGCAGAAAAGAGACUAAAGACAGAGGGACAGGAUGGCUGGGGACAACGACAGGGACCCAGUGAAAAUACGGGCAAUACCCAGGGCUGUAACCCUAACACGGGCAAAUUUGGAGGGGCUAACAUGGGCAGAAACCAUCCGUACCAGUCACCACCACUGUCUCCAGCUGUCCCAGAACCUGACUCUUCCUGCCAUCAAAAUGGCGGCGGCGACGGCAGCGGUGGUAGCACCUACGCCGGCGGUGACCAGGCAAAAGAAGUUGCUUCCGAGCGCGUUGAAACGAUGAUGCGCACGCGCAAAGUAGGCCUACGUGGAGCCGACCUGCCAUUGGGGCACCUGAUGGAAUAAACUGCUGUGAGAGGGAGUAUUGAGAAAUACUUCUCCCCUGGACCUUGUUCCUAGGUUCCGUGUGAAGCUGAACACUCUGCAUGAUCUCCCUGCCACCACAGCAAGCUAUGAAGUUCAUUACAUAUGCAGGUAGCAGACAGUACAGCUCUGCUUCCCUUUCUGAGCACCUAGGGUAGACUGCCAUUAUUCAGUGUGCCAGCCUGUUUCCAAGCCUACAAUGUAUAGUUCCUCUAGUACAUAAACUCAUUUUUUUCUCAGAGAGCCAAGUAGAGACACAGGCAGUUUUCUUCUCAAAAUGUGCCAGAAAUUCCAAAACAAUCUCAAAGCGUUAAAGGCUAUGUGCAGAAAGC
rnacentral:antisense_RNA from 1 species